rnacentral:tRNA from 1 species
UAGUAAGAAGCAAAAUUUUGCAUUUAGUUUCGACCUAAAAAUUUGAUAUAAUUUAUCCUUACUUU